ACAUACGUCAUUGCUUUCGUGUCUUUCCAUCUCGAAGCGGAAACGAAGUGCGACGACGGCAAUAGCGACGCCGACGACGACGACGACGACGACGACGACGACGAGGAUGACGACAAAGGUGGGCUUAAAGUGAAAGAGGAAGAAGAAGGGGAGGAGGAGGAGAAAGAGAAGGAGGACACACGUGUUACAUACAUUCAACCUCAGCAUGCAGUCCGAGCCAUCGGACACGUCGAUACGUUGAGGGUGAGGUGAGAGAGUUCGUAGCUCCCUCGGUACAUCAAAGUUGAGCAGGACUUCGAAGCUGGCGCGACAAGGAGGGAGAUGGUGGGAGAGGCAGGCGAGAGAACGAUAGAUAGAGAUAGAGAGAGAAGAGGGGGAGUGAACCAGCGUCCCGCGCUCCCCGUGGAAACGCGACGCCUAGGAAUGGGAAGCUUUAACGCGGGUAAAAUCCAUCGAUCAGCCGUUCUAGAACGGGCGAGGUGAUCAACCUCGUUGUCCUUCAACAAUGACGACGACGACGACAACGAUGAUGAAGACGGCAACUCCCACGAUGUACAUAAGGAUACAAAAACGAUGCAGUGUGUGAGAGGAAAGAGAACGCUGACGCCCUACGCCCUUCGGCAACGUCGCCACCAUCGCUGUGCGCGACCAAGAACCCGGCAACGUCGCGCGCAACCGAGAAGAGAGAGAGAGAGAGAGAGAGAAAUGCGAGAGCUAUACCAAAGAACACCCUUUUCACGGAUUACUUUUUUCCACCUCUCUACGUGCCCAGACCAUAGACUUCUUUCUCUCUCUCUUGUUCUAUGCUUCGCCCUGUAUUUGAGGAAGUACUUGCGAGCUGGAUUCUAUGAUGCUUUAGCUAGAUUCUCUUUUCAUUCUC